rnacentral:tRNA from 1 species
GGACGUGGCUCCAGUGGUAGUGCUCGCCUGGCGUGCGUGCGGCCCGGGUUCGAUCCUCAGCACCA